rnacentral:rRNA from 1 species
UACGUAGGGGGCUAGCGUUGUUCGGAAUUACUGGGCGUAAAGCGCACGCAGGUGGCUGAGUCAGUCGAUUGUGAAAGCCCCGGGCUCAACCUGGGAAUUGCAUUCGAGACUGAAUAGCUAGGGUACGGUAGAGGGAAGUGGAAUUUCCGGUGUAGCGGUGAAAUGCGUAGAUAUCGGAAGGAACAUCAGUGGCGAAAGCGACUUCCUGGACCAGUACCGACGUUAGGCACGAAAGCGUGGG